UGAAUAGCGUUAGUUUUGCAUUUGCAAUACAUGUGAUGUUUUAUUAAAGAUGAAAGUUAUGCUCAAAAUCGGAUUUUAAAAAAAUAUUAUUUUAAUAUCUUUCAUAGUUGUUGUUGUUGUUGAGUGUUAGAAAAUGCAUAUUUAUAAAGGAGAAAACCGUUAUUUUACAUUUCAAGUCUUACUAACAACCCUUACUUUUAUGUAUUUAACCUUCUUGUGAUUUAAUUACAUGUGUUUUAUUUUAAUUAAGUAUUUUAUGUAUUUUAGGGGCAUUAUAGUCAUUUUACAAUAAAGGAGAGAUCAGACGGCAAAACAGACAUCACUUUUGAACUCAAGACGGUCGAAAACUUUAGGAGGAGUAUAAAAAGAAAAAUGGCACUAUUCAUAUGUACGGUACUAUUCACGUGUACGGUACUAACUACGUUACUAUUCACAACACUGUUCACAUAGACGGAUCAAUGACGUGGCAUUGACCGAUGAUGUGGCAUUGACUGAUGAGGUGUCACGAUCCUGUUGGGCUAAAAUUCUUAUGUACUGUUGAUGGUGACGUGGCAGCAUAUCAGUGGAUGAAAAAUCUCGCGUACGGUACAUGCAUCACACAUGAUUAUUUUGAACCAAACCGCGUUACUGUUCAUCCGAGUCAAACCGCAUUACUGUUCAUCCGAGUCAAACCGUGUUACUGUUCAUCCGCGUGGUCAAACCGUGGACUGUUGACUGAUGACGUGGCGCAAUCCUGAGCGUCCAAACUGUUUUUAAUCCGAUGGCCAUGAUUUACUCCAUGUAUCUAUAAAAAGGGGGCCUCCCCCCUAAUUUGAUAUCUCUGAAUCCAUUUUUGGGAUCCAUUUUCUGUAAUUCCUUCUCCAUCUUGUAUUUUCUUUGUAUUUUAAUAAAUUCUCAUUUUGCCCCUAGUUCAAUUAUGAGUGGCUAAUUUUCUUUCAAGCUUGGAUUGAAGGUGAAGUCUCAACAUGUGUCAUGAGCUUAAUUUGGUAAAUUUAUUUUCUCUUCCCCUCUAGUUUUUGUGGAUGUUUUN
rnacentral:lncRNA from 1 species